rnacentral:miRNA from 1 species
CGGAUAAGCAAAGAAAGUGGUU